rnacentral:rRNA from 1 species
GCGUGACCAACCCUAGCCCCACUGCUCCAGAAUAAGCUCUUGGAAACGGGGUGGGUAAGUGCUGGAUGCUCCAACUUGACGCAUGUCUUGUUGGGAAAGUGUUUAGUGGCAUGGGAUGGGGUCGCGUCCUAUCAGCUUGUAGGCGGGGGUAAUGGCCCACCUAGGCUUCGACGGGUAGCCGGCCUGAGAGGGCGGACGGCCACAUUGGGACUGAGAUACGGCCCAGACUCCUACGGGAGGCAGCAGGA